AUGCACGCUGGCGGCGUGCCUAAUACCUGCAAGUCGCGCGAACAGACGAGGAGCUUGCUCCUCUGACGUUAGCGGCGGACGGGUGAGUAACACGUGGAUAACCUACCUAUAAGACUGGGAUAACUUCGGGAAACCGGAGCUAAUACCGGAUAAUAUAUUGAACCGCAUGGUUCAAUAGUGAAAGACGGUUUUGCUGUCACUUAUAGAUGGAUCCGCGCCGCAUUAGCUAGUUGGUAAGGUAACGGCUUACCAAGGCAACGAUGCGUAGCCGACCUGAGAGGGUGAUCGGCCACACUGGAACUGAGACACGAUCCAGACUCCUACGGGAGGCAGCAGUAGGGAAUCUUCCGCAAUGGGCGAAAGCCUGACGGAGCAACGCCGCGUGAGUGAUGAAGGUCUUCGGAUCGUAAAACUCUGUUAUUAGGGAAGAACAAAUGUGUAAGUAACUAUGCACGUCUGGACGGUACCUAAACAGAAAACCACGGCUAACUACGU
rnacentral:rRNA from 1 species